rnacentral:rRNA from 1 species
UACGAAGGGGGCUAGCGUUGUUCGGAAUUACUGGGCGUAAAGGGCGCGUAGGCUGUGCUGUAAGUCAGGCGUGAAAGGCCCGGGCUCAACCUGGGAAUGGCGCAUGAUACUGCGGCGCUGGAAGGCGGGAGAGGAUGGCGGAAUUCCCAGUGUAGAGGUGAAAUUCGUAGAUAUUGGGGAGAACACCGGUGGCGAAGGCGGCUAUCUGGCCCGUAAUUGACGCUGAGGCGCGAAAGCGUGGGGAGCAAACAGG